AUCCCAUGAUGAGGAUAGCCGGCGACGUAUUCCUGCAACCUUUCCCACGCUUCCGGUAUCAUCUCAUCUUUCGGCUGUUGGAAACUAGAUAUUCUUCCACGAAGGGU
rnacentral:snoRNA from 1 species